CGAGUCUUAAUUGGGCGUUAAGUUGCAGGGUAUAGACCCGAAACCCGGUGAUCUAGCCAUGGGCAGGUUGAAGGUUGGGUAACACUAACUGGAGGACCGAACCGACUAAUGUUGAAAAAUUAGCGGAUGACCUGUGGCUGGGGGUGAAAGGCCAAUCAAACCGGGAGAUAGCUGGUUCUCCCCGAAAGCUAUUUAGGUAGCGCCUCGUGAAUUCAUCUCCGGGGGUAGAGCACUGUUUCGGCUAGGGGGCCAUCCCGGCUUACCAACCCGAUGCAAACUGCGAAUACCGGAGAAUGUUAUCACGGGAGACACACGGCGGGUGCUAACGUCCGUCGUGAAGAGGGAAACAACCCAGACCGCCAGCUAAGGUCCCAAAGUCAUGGUUAAGUGGGAAACGAUGUGGGAAGGCCCAGACAGCCAGGAUGUUGGCUUAGAAGCAGCCAUCAUUUAAAGAAAGCGUAAUAGCUCACUGGUCGAGUCGGCCUGCGCGGAAGAUGUAACGGGGCUAAACCAUGCACCGAAGCUGCGGCAGCGAACGUAUCACCCAAGACAACUUUACGGAGUUGACGAUUGACGGAGCGAAGCGACGUCAAAGCGUUCAUUAAAGUCGAGUUGGCUUAGGGAUACGUUCGUUGGGUAGGGGAGCGUUCUGUAAGCCUGUGAAGGUGUGUCGUGAGGCAUGCUGGAGGUAUCAGAAGUGCGAAUGCUGACAUAAGUAACGAUAAAGCGGGUGAAAAGCCCGCU
rnacentral:rRNA from 1 species